GACGAACGCUGGCGGCGUGCCUAAUACAUGCAAGUCGAACGCUGAAGGAGGAGCUUGCUUCUCUGGAUGAGUUGCGAACGGGUGAGUAACGCGUAGGUAACCUGCCUGGUAGCGGGGGAUAACUAUUGGAAACGAUAGCUAAUACCGCAUAAGAGUAGAUGUUGCAUGACAUUUGCUUAAAAGUUGCAAUUGCAUCACUACCAGAUGGAGCUGCGUUGUAUUGGCUAGUUGGUGGGGUAACGGCUCACCAAGGCGACGAUACAUAGCCGAACGGAGAGGGGGAUCGGCCACACUGGGACUGAGACCGGGCCCAGACUCCUACGGGAGGCAGCAGUAGGGAAUCGUCGGCAAUGGGCGGAAGUCUGACCGAGCAACGCCGAGUGAGUGAAGAAGGUUUCCGGGUCGUAAAGCUCUGUUUUAGGGGAAGAACGAGUGUGAGAGUGGAAAGUUCACAGUGUGACGGUAUCUGACCAGAAAGGGACGGCUAACUACGUG
rnacentral:rRNA from 1 species